UCUGUACCGUCUCCUCUCCCCUAGCUUCAUUUCUCCCUUGGAUGUUUAUUCUUGAAGACAUGGAGGUCUCCAAGAUCAAGAUGCCAGGCUUGUGCUUGCUGCUGCUCAUGCCACUCCUGUUGCUUCCUGGAUCUGAAGCAGGCGAUUAUUGCAAGUGGUUCAGCAAGACCUACACUACUUUUCACUGUGCGGACAGCCCAUGCGCUGAGCACUGCCGCAACGAGGGCUUCCCUCGUGGGUGGUGUGAGUUCGUCGCCUUAGAACCUCUCGCCUUAGUCUGCUUCUGCAGGAAACCCUGCUGAUGAUGCUUGUGAAGUAAUAAUACUGUUGUGUGUUUAUAAGGAAGUGUACAUGUGAACUUCUAUGUCGUAUUUGCCGUGAAGAGCAGAUCAGUAUAAUAAAGGUGAAGUUGCAAUAGUCUGCCUCCCUUUUGGGUUCAUCCUGAUGAGCAGGAAUCAUAUUAAGCUCUUGAUGGUCCUCUCUGCUGAUGAAAUCUUUUAUUGGUGUGAAUAAGUAGAGACUGAUGCCUUUGUCUCUUGUAUUAUUGGAAUCAAAACAGAGCAUGCUACAAAUGCAGAGAUAUGGACAUA